rnacentral:tRNA from 1 species
GCGGGUGUAGUUCAGUAGUAGAACGCUUCCUUGCCAAGGAAGAGGCCGUGGGUGCGAAUCCCAUCACCCGCUCCA